UACGAAGGGUGCAAGCGUUAAUCGGAAUUACUGGGCGUAAAGCGUGCGCAGGCGGUUUUGUAAGCCAGAUGUGAAAUCCCCGGGCUUAACCUGGGAAUGGCAUUUGGGACUGCAAGGCUGGAGUGCGGCAGAGGAGACUGGAAUUCCUGGUGUAGCAGUGAAAUGUGUAGAUAUCAGGAGGAAUACCGAUGGCGAAGGCAGGUCUCUGGGCUGACACUGACGCUCAUGCACGAAAGCGUGGGGAGCAAACAGG
rnacentral:rRNA from 1 species